rnacentral:rRNA from 1 species
AAUUCGAUUGAGUUUGAUCAUGGCUCAGAACGAACGCUGGCGGCAGGCUUAACACAUGCAAGUCGAACGCACUCUUCGGAGUGAGUGGCAGACGGGUGAGUAACGCGUGGGAACGUACCUUUCGGUUCGGAAUAACCCAGGGAAACUUGAGCUAAGACCGGAUACGCCGGAAACGGGAAAGAUUUAUCGCCGAAAGAUCGGCCCGCGUCGGAUUAGCUAGUUGGUGGGGUAAUGGCCUACCAAGGCGACGAUCCGUAGCUGGUCUGAGAGGAUGAUCAGCCACACUGGGACUGAGACACGGCCCAGACUCCUACGGGAGGCAGCAGUGGGGAAUAUUGGACAAUGGGCGCAAGCCUGAUCCAGCCAUGCCGCGUGAGUGAAGAAGGCCUUAGGGUUGUAAAGCUCUUUCGUUGGGGAAGAUAAUGACGGUACCCAAAGAAGGAGCCCCGGCUAACUUCGUGCCAGCAGCCGCGGUAAUACGAAGGGGGCUAGCGUUGUUCGGAAUUACUGGGCGUAAAGCGCGCGUAGGCGGACAUUUAAGUCAGGGGUGAAAUGCCGGGGCUCAACCUCGGAACUGCCUUUGAUACUGGGUGUCUGGAGUUCGGGAGAGGUGAGUGGAAUUCCGAGUGUAGAGGUGAAAUUCGUAGAUAUUCGGAGGAACACCAGAAGCGAAGGCGGCUCACUGGCCCGAUACUGACGCUGAGGCGCGAAAGC